ACUGAAGAAAUAAAUGCCAAGAUUUCACAACUUUCUCGACAGAGAAAAUCAAAAAUGUUGAUGAUUAAGGCCUUGAAGGCUCAAUUAGAAGUGGAAACUGGAGUUGCUAUAGAGCAAAAUAACACAUACAAUAAGAAAAAAAGAAGGCCACUUUAUCGGCAUAAAUACUAACUUUAUGUACAUGUAGAUCUAUUGUUUAAGAUCAUUUUUAGUCAA